rnacentral:misc_RNA from 1 species
GCCAGGGGAAUGAGGAAAACGGGGUUCUCGAGGGGUAUCAGACUCAAAGCUCCCAACCAGAAGGGGGGAAAGCUGGUUUAAGUUCACUGACUUUGAGGGAUCAGACAAUUUCACAUUGUUUGUGUCACACCAGUUUGCAAUCAGAGCCUUAACAGUGUAAUUAGGUAUAAGAUUCGUGUGAACCAAUGUCUGUCUAGUCUUCGGGCAAACAUUCAGUCCCUGAUCAAUCCAAUUU